rnacentral:rRNA from 1 species
GACGAACGCUGGCGGCGUGCUUAACACAUGCAAGUCGAACGGUAAGGCCCUUCGGGGUACACGAGUGGCGAACGGGUGAGUAACACGUGGGUGAUCUGCCCUGCACUUCGGGAUAAGCCUGGGAAACUGGGUCUAAUACCGGAUAGGACUCCUGGCUUCAUGGUUGGGGGUGGAAAGCUUUUGCGGUGUGGGAUGGGCCCGCGGCCUAUCAGCUUGUUGGUGGGGUAAUGGCCUACCAAGGCGACGACGGGUAGCCGGCCUGGGAGGGUGACCGGUCACACUGCGACUGAGAUACGGCCCAGACUCAUACGGGAGGCAGCAGUGGGGAAUAUUGCACAAUGGGCGCAAGCCUGAUGCAGCGACGCCGCGUGAGGGAUGACGGCCUUCGGGUUGUAAACCUCUUUCAGCUAUGACGAAGCGCAAGUGACGGUAGUAGCAGAAGAAGGACCGGCCAACUACGUGCCAGCCGCCGCAGUAA